rnacentral:rRNA from 1 species
GAUGAACGCUGGCGGCGUGCCUAAUACAUGCAAGUCGAGCGAACAGACGAGGAGCUUGCUCCUCUGACGUUAGCGGCGGACGGGUGAGUAACACGUGGAUAACCUACCUAUAAGACUGGGAUAACUUCGGGAAACCGGCGCUAAUACCGUAUAACAUGUUGAACCGCAUGGUUCAAUAGUGAAAUACGGUCUUGCUGUCACUUAUAGAUGGAUCCGCGCCGCAUUAGCUAGUUGUUAAGUUAACGGGUUACCAAGGCAACGAUGCGUAACCGACCUGAGAGAGUGAUAGGCCACAUGGGAACUGAGACACGGUCCAGACUCCUACGGGAGGCAGCAGUAGGGAAUCUUCCGCAAUGGGCGAAAGCCUGACGGAGCAACGCCGCGUGAGUGAAGAAGGUCUUCGGAUCGGAAAACUCUGUUAUUAGGGAAGAACAAAUGUGUAAGUAACUAUGCACGUCUUGACGGUACCUAAUCAGAAAGCCACGGCUAACUACGUG